rnacentral:rRNA from 1 species
GCUUGUCUCAAAGAUUAAGCCAUGCAUGUUCAAGUAUAGCAAGUGUACAGUGAAACUGCGAAUGGCUCAUUAAAUCAGUUAUAAUUUAUUUGAUACUUUUCGACUAUUGGAUAACCGUAGUAAUUCUAGAGCUAAUACAUGCGCCAAGUCCCGUCUCACGUCGGGAUGUAUUUAUUAGAUUUCAAUCAACACUUUUUGCUGACUCAUGAUAACUUAGCGGAUCGCAGAGGCCUCGCGCCGGCGACAAAUCAUUCAAGUUUCUGCCCUAUCAGCUUUCGAUGGUAGUGUAUUGGACUACCAUGGCAUUCACGGGUAACGGAGGAUUAGGGUUCGAUUCCGGAGAGGGAGCCUGAGAAAUGGCUACCACAUCCAAGGAAGGCAGCAG